UCGUUCUUAGCUCAGUCGGUAGAGCGUCACACUUUUAAUCUGAUUGUCGUGGGUUCGAGUCCCACAGAAGGCG
rfam:Toxocara canis scaffold1503, whole genome shotgun sequence.